GGCCUAACACAUGCAAGUCGAACGGUAACAGGAAGCAGCUUGCUGCUUCGCUGACGAGUGGCGGACGGGUGAGUAAUGUCUGGGAAGCUGCCUGAUGGAGGGGGAUAACUACUGGAAACGGUAGCUAAUACCGCAUAAUGUCGCAAGACCAAAGAGGGGGACCUUCGGGCCUCUUGCCAUCGGAUGUGCCCAGAUGGGAUUAGCUUGUUGGUGGGGUAACGGCUCACCAAGGCGACGAUCCCUAGCUGGUCUGAGAGGAUGACCAGCCACACUGGAACUGAGACACGGUCCAGACUCCUACGGGAGGCAGCAGUGGGGAAUAUUGCACAAUGGGCGCAAGCCUGAUGCAGCCAUGCCGCGUGUAUGAAGAAGGCCUUCGGGUUGUAAAGUCU
rnacentral:rRNA from 1 species